AGAGUUUGACCCUGGCUCAGGACGAACGCUGGCGGCGUGCCUAAUACAUGCAAGUAGAACGCUGAAGAGAGGAGCUUGCUCUUCUUGGAUGAGUUGCGAACGGGUGAGUAACGCGUAGGUAACCUGCCUUGUAGCGGGGGAUAACUAUUGGAAACGAUAGCUAAUACCGCAUAACAAUGGAUGACACAUGUCAUUUAUUUGAAAGGGGCAAUUGUUCCACUACAAGAUGGACCUGCGUUGUAUUAGCUAGUAGGUGAGGUAAUGGCUCACCUAGGCGACGAUACAUAGCCGACCUGAGAGGGUGAUCGGCCACACUGGGACUGAGACACGGCCCAGACUCCUACGGGAGGCAGCAGUAGGGAAUCUUCGGCAAUGGGGGCAACCCUGACCGAGCAACGCCGCGUGAGUGAAGAAGGUUUUCGGAUCGUAAAGCUCUGUUGUAAGUCAAGAACGGGUGUGAGAGUGGAAAGUUCACACUGUGACGGUAGCUUACCAGAAAGGGACGGCUAACUACGUGCCAGCAGCCGCGGUAAUACGUAGGUCCCGAGCGUUGUCCGGAUUUAUUGGGCGUAAAGCGAGCGCAGGCGGUUUGAUAAGUCUGAAGUUAAAGGCUGUGGCUCAACCAUAGUUCGCUUUGGAAACUGUCAAACUUGAGUGCAGAAGGGGAGAGUGGAAUUCCAUGUGUAGCGGUGAAAUGCGUAGAUAUAUGGAGGAACACCGGUGGCGAAAGCGGCUCUCUGGUCUGUAACUGACGCUGAGGCUCGAAAGCGUGGGGAGCGAACAGGAUUAGAUACCCUGGUAGUCCACGCCGUAAACGAUGAGUGCUAGGUGUUGGAUCCUUUCCGGGAUUCAGUGCCGCAGCUAACGCAUUAAGCACUCCGCCUGGGGAGUACGACCGCAAGGUUGAAACUCAAAGGAAUUGACGGGGGCCCGCACAAGCGGUGGAGCAUGUGGUUUAAUUCGAAGCAACGCGAAGAACCUUACCAGGUCUUGACAUCCCGAUGCUAUUUCUAGAGAUAGAAAGUUACUUCGGUACAUCGGUGACAGGUGGUGCAUGGUUGUCGUCAGCUCGUGUCGUGAGAUGUUGGGUUAAGUCCCGCAACGAGCGCAACCCCUAUUGUUAGUUGCCAUCAUUCAGUUGGGCACUCUAGCGAGACUGCCGGUAAUAAACCGGAGGAAGGUGGGGAUGACGUCAAAUCAUCAUGCCCCUUAUGACCUGGGCUACACACGUGCUACAAUGGUUGGUACAACGAGUUGCGAGUCGGUGACGGCGAGCUAAUCUCUUAAAGCCAAUCUCAGUUCGGAUUGUAGGCUGCAACUCGCCUACAUGAAGUCGGAAUCGCUAGUAAUCGCGGAUCAGCACGCCGCGGUGAAUACGUUCCCGGGCCUUGUACACACCGCCCGUCACACCACGAGAGUUUGUAACACCCGAAGUCGGUGAGGUAACCUUUUGGAGCCAGCCGCCUAAGGUGGGACAGAUGAUUGGGGUGAAGUCGUAACAAGGUA
rnacentral:rRNA from 1 species